rnacentral:rRNA from 1 species
GACGUAGGGUGCGAGCGUUGUCCGGAUUUAUUGGGCGUAAAGAGCUCGUAGGCGGCUCGUUGCGUCAGCUGUGAAAACCUGCAGCUUAACUGUGGGCUUGCGGUCGAUACGGGCAUCACUGGAGUUCGGCAGGGGAGACUGGAAUUCCUGGUGUAGCGGUGAAAUGCGCAGAUAUCAGGAGGAACACCGGUGGCGAAGGCGGGUCUCUGGGCCGAUACUGACGCUGAGGAGCGAAAGCGUGGGGAGCGAACAGG